rnacentral:rRNA from 1 species
AACGAACGCUGGCGGCAUGCCUAACACAUGCAAGUCGAACGAGACCUUCGGGUCUAGUGGCGCACGGGUGCGUAACGCGUGGGAACCUGCCCUUAGGUUCGGAAUAACUCCCCGAAAGGGGUGCUAAAACCGGAUAAUGUCUUCGGACCAAAGAUUUAUCGCCUUUGGAUGGGCCCGCGUUGGAUUAGCUAGUUGGUAGGGUAAAAGCCUACCAAGGCGACGAUCCAUAGCUGGUCUGAGAGGAUGAUCAGCCACACUGGGACUGAGACACGGCCCAGACUCCUACGGGAGGCAGCAGUGGGGAAUAUUGGACAAUGGGCGAAAGCCUGAUCCAGCAAUGCCGCGUGAGUGAUGAAGGCCUUAGGGUUGUAAAGCUCUUUUACCCGGGAUGAUAAUGACAGUACCGGGAGAAUAAGCGCCGGCUAACUCCGUG